CGCAGCCGCGGGCAGGACUCAGCGCCAAGAGGCGGGACCUCGAACGCGACGGACUGGAGUGCGGCUGCGCAGUUCGUCUCAGCGUUUGAGAAGCGCAACAGGCGGUCCAGGGCAGGCUCAAACAUACCCAAGAGCGGUCAUGUCCUCAUUUUUUUCAUUCAACUGGCACUGAAACCCGGGAUUGGCGUGAAUGAGUUCCCUUCCAAAGGACCCUGCCUCUCCAAACCAACCUGCUGAUUUGCCUCUCCUAAGCUCCAGAGGGAUGAAAGUCCACAAUGGCAGAAUGGCGGGUCAGCAGGCAGUCAAACAGACAGCCAGAGCGGGCAGCUGAAAGACCACAUUUC